GUCAAUAUCAUCCACACUCCUUUCUUUCUCUUCACUGGUCUUGCCUUUUUCAUUUCCCACCCACACCAAACUGAGAGGGGGGGAAAUGCUCUCAGCUGUUCCGUGCUGUAAGACGUCGUUCCCACGAUGUUUUUAGUUCCUUCCUUUUCUUUCAAUAGAAAAACAAGAAAUACAUUCUACUUCGACAAGGGAAAAAAAAAUUAAAUAGAGGGGAACUGUGAAGACGAGUUCGAGUCAAAAGUCUCUCAUGAUCGUGACUUUUUAGAUUAAAAACCUUGGCUUUUUGGAAAAAUCUUCAUGGAAACGCCCGGCGGCAUCACGGUGAAUAACCGCAUCAAAGAACUUGGAAAGUCACCUUUAACGUUUAUCAUCACAUCCAUUGGAUGGGAGUAGUCCCGUACUAUGGUAGGAGGAGACUAAAGUGGAUUCCCCGGUGGCAUUUGUUCUUCCUUUUCGAAUUCCCGUUGAACUACCGGAUACGUCACUCAUUAUGCACCUGCAUCAUCAAACAGAGGAAGAAACUUGAGGGAAACCUACAACAGAUAUCACCACUAUGCAACGGACAAGGUACGUAUGAGCCAAAUCGUUGUAUUUUCGAUCUCUCGCCAACAACGUCGUCGCGUGUGAUGAAUCACUAAAUGAGGUGGUUAUUUACAGCGUAUCCCCCGCAUUUGUUAUUUUUGUUGUUGUUAUUGUAGAAAGGGUUUGAUAGUGUAUGUCUCCAUACUUUACAUAGUCAUUUGGUAUUCAUGACGAAUGCACCAUGCGUUGUUCAGUCAGGCUAAUCCCGGCAGACUGGACGAUGGAUGGUCGCCAGCAGCACUUACUGUUUAGUACAUUAUUGCCACUGGGUGUGACUCUUUUUCCUCAAUGGACAAUGGUUAUUGUUGCGAGUCAUAAAGCACUAAAACAGCUGUUGGAUGGGAUAUUUUAAAAUCAUUAUUUCUCUAUUUGCUAGGGCAACAGCCAGAACAACCACAAAUGAAAGUUUCAAAAUAUACACUAUUUCAAACAUCCCACUGCUAGUAAAGAUUGAAGAUGAAGUUCUCAUUAGUUCCAGCUGGUGAUUAAUUACAAUCAAUUAUAGGAGGAGAGAAGAUUGAUCGUAAAGAAUCGCUUCUACUCUUUUGUCUUCUGGUAAACCGAACCUGCCCAAACAAGAAAUGGAAAAAAGGAGGGGUUGGUGGGAAUGACGCUGAAGUGACGAAGAGAAAAGAAAAACAAAAGAUAACGUCAUCGACUAAAAAAGACUGGAACUCGAUGACGACCUUCUAAAGAUAAAAAUUUUUUGUUUUCAUUCUGUGUUUUUUUCACAAGAAAUAAACAAGAAACAAAAGAAAUGACCUAACCAGUUAAGUAAAGGGAGGAUAUAGAACGAUCAGUCUUAUGGAGGAAAAAUAACCACCAAUUUGUACACUGGAAAAUAUUGACCAAAUAAUCGUGACUGAAAAACAAUGCAAAUUUGAGGCGUGGAAUUUUGGAAAAAUUUGCUCUAGAAAGAGGCGAAAGUUAUGUUGACAUAAGCAAAAAGGUGAAUGAGCCACUCGUUUUAAAACGUGAAACAGAAAAAAGAGCACAACAAUAAUACCGGGUUGUGCUCCCCUUUUGAAUGACAUUAUUGAACGGCAUGCCCAAUUCUUGCGUUUUCUUUUUCAUUUGUCUCCUCUUUUGUUCACCCUUUUGAUCAAAUUAACACAAAACUGAAAAUUUUUGAUUUUGUUACACGCACUAAAUGAAACACAAAAACAAAUGCUGAAGGACGUCUUAAAGUCGCAGCAGUCCAUUUUGACUAGUUCCAAGUAAUGAACUGACUUGAAUAAAACGGACAUAAACAACAUUUCAACUGGAUCAUUCCGUUGUGACGAAAAUCGAUUUGAAAACGAAAUUUAAAAACAAAGAAAAAAAAAAUAAUGGAGGAAAGAGAAACUUGUGUCCUUCUCAAACCGGAUGAUCAAAAUAAUCAUGACCUGUUCUUCCAGGGUGUGGCGUCCUAGUCAAUAACAAGACCUUAUCUAAACGUUUACUUCGCUAAAGCUAAAAUUAGGAUUGUUAUUUCAAUGGUGAAACAACAAGCCGAAUUCACCACGAGUCUCUUGGAAACGUGUAUUAUUUCUAACAUUUUACUUGAUGUCUUGAUUAUUGUAUAAAAACUUGAAAACCAAAACGUUCCAUCACAAUUCACACCUGAGUAUUUGGUUGAAUGUUUGAUGCUUCGGCCAUAGAAAUGUAACAGAAAUAA